rnacentral:rRNA from 1 species
UACGAAGGGGGCUAGCGUUGUUCGGAAUUACUGGGCGUAAAGCGCGCGCAGGCGGCUAUCCAAGUCAGUGGUGAAAGCCCGGAGCUCAACUCCGGAACUGCCAUUGAAACUGUUUAGCUGGAGUAUGAGAGAGGUGAGUGGAAUUCCCAGUGUAGAGGUGAAAUGCGCAGAUAUCAGGAGGAACACCAAUGGCGAAGGCAGCUCGCUGGGACGGUACUGACGCUGAGACGCGAAAGCGUGGGGAGCAAACAGG